ACUCCUGCGGGAGGCAGCAGUGGGGAAUUUUGGACAAUGGGCGAAAGCCUGAUCCAGCAAUGCCGCGUGAGUGAAGAAGGCCUUCGGGUUGUAAAGCUCUUUUGUCAGGGAAGAAACGGUGAGAGCUAAUAUCUUUUGCUAAUGACGGUACCUGAAGAAUAAGCACCGGCUAACUACGUGCCAGCAGCCGCGGUAAUACGUAGGGUGCAAGCGUUAAUCGGAAUUACUGGGCGUAAAGCGUGCGCAGGCGGUUUUGUAAGUCUGAUGUGAAAUCCCCGGGCUCAACCUGGGAAUUGCAUUGGAGACUGCAAGGCUAGAAUCUGGCAGAGGGGGGUAGAAUUCCACGUGUAGCAGUGAAAUGCGUAGAUAUGUGGAGGAACACCGAUGGCGAAGGCAGCCCCCUGGGUCAAGAUUGACGCUCAUGCACGAAAGCGUGGGGAGCAAACAGGAUUAGAUACCCCGGUAGUCCCA
rnacentral:rRNA from 1 species